rnacentral:tRNA from 1 species
GCCCGGGUGGCUCAGUCGGUUAAGCGUCUGCCUUCCGCUCGGGUCCUGAUCUCAGGGACCUGGGAUCGAGUCCCACCUCGGGCU